UACGUAGGGGGCAAGCGUUGUCCUGAUUCAUUGGGCGUAAAGAGCGUGUAGGCGGCCAGGUAGGUCGGUUGUGAAAACUGGAGGCUCAACCUUCAGAGGUCGACCGAAACCAUCUGGCUAGAGUCCGGGAGAGGAGAGUGGAAUUCCUGGUGUAGCGGUGAAAUGCGCAGAUAUCAGGAAGAACACCCGUGGCGAAAGCGGCUCUCUGGAACGGUACUGACGCUGAGACGCGAAAGCGUGGGGAGCGAACAGG
rnacentral:rRNA from 1 species